rnacentral:rRNA from 1 species
UACGGAGGAUGCGAGCGUUAUCCGGAUUUAUUGGGUUUAAAGGGUGCGUAGGCGGACUGUCAAGUCAGCGGUAAAAUUGAGAGGCUCAACCUCUUCCCGCCGUUGAAACUGGUGGUCUUGAGUGGAUGAGAAGUACGCGGAAUGCGUGGUGUAGCGGUGAAAUGCAUAGAUAUCGCGCAGAACUCCGAUUGCGAAGGCAGCGUACCGGCGCCAGACUGACGCUGAGGCACGAAAGCGUGGGGAUCGAACAGG